GGACUAGUUUGGCGUUUUUAUGGCGUUUUUGUGGUUUUGACGAAAAACUUGCUUUAUAUAGGAUUACAAAUAGGGAACUGACUUUAUGUAUAGCUACUCGCAAGUUAAAAGUUACUUGUAUACUGACAAUUGACUGUGCAAACAGCUGUUUUUCGCUUCGCUUUAUUAAUAUGGUAUAACUACUUAAGGCUCUAAAUAGAAGCAAUAAUAUUUACAGAAGAAGGCUGUUAAGCGGCCAUACUUAAUUGCUUCGCUAUGUUUGUGCACUCUACUUAAGCCCGGGUUAAACGAGGAUGAGAGUGUAUGAGAGUUGGCAGUGACGCGGCCUUGGUUAGCUGUUCUUAAUGCUUUCCGAACACUAUUGCGAUAUCAUGUAUUUUAUUUAAGUUAGGACAUGCACGUUUGGAAAUCUAAAGCUUGAAAUGUCCCCGUAACAAUGCGUGACUGCCGAGGUCUCCGUCAAUUCUCAUCCUCGUUUGACCUUAAUUAAAUAAUAUAUUAUUAAAACACACAUCUUUAAAUUAAAUCCCUAAUGCUACAAUUAUAUAUUUACAUGCGUCAUACACUGCAAAAAACCUGAGUAUUUUGACUGAAAAACUUGAUUAAAAUACCGCACCCUGCA